rnacentral:rRNA from 1 species
UACGUAGGGGGCAAGCGUUGUCCGGAAUCAUUGGGCGUAAAGCGCGUGUAGGCGGCCCGAUAAGUCCGCUGUGAAAGUCCAGGGCUCAACCCUGGGAUGCCGGUGGAUACUGUCGGGCUCGAGUCCGGAAGAGGAGUGUGGAAUUCCGUGGUGUAGCGGUGGAAUGCGUAGAGAUCGGGAAGAACAUCAGUGGCGAAGGCGGCCUGCUGGGCUGUUGCUGACGCUGAGGCGCGACAGCGUGGGGAGCAAACAGG